GACCAAAUUCACCCUUGCAAGCCUAAAAAUCCACACACCUAGUGAAAAAAAACCCCCGACACCAAAUAAAAUGUCCUCCCAGACACAGCUUACCUUCUGCCUCUGUUUCCUCUGCAGGAAAAGGACUCAAAGCUUCUGGUAGCACUUAUUUAAAGCUCAAACCCCACCCCUUCAGACCACGCAGUCAGGGAGAAUAAAGGUCAGACCAAACAAACAAAGUUACACUGCAAAGUUACACUGUGGAAUAUGCUACCAGAACAAGUAAUGAUAACCAUAACAUUAGUGUCUUGCUGGGCUACCUGGCACUGUUCGACAAUGUGGGCAUGGCAUGCAAUGUUUUGGGUUUUUCCUCCUGAAGUCAGGAAACAUAAUUUUGUUUCCAGCUUGGAAGUGGGAAAUGGUGGAAGAAAACAAAUCUACUCCCUUAUCCUCUACAGCUCAGAGAAGGACAGAGGCAAGCCAACAUACCUUCCUCUGGAGAAGUCUUUCUGUUCAUGAAAGAAAUAAUGUCCCAGUCAAGAGACCUUUGGAUUGCUUAGGUCCAAGCUGAUGGCCAGGGUCCAACACCAUACUUUGAUAUUCCGAGAUGGGAGAUUGGGAACAUCUUCCUCUCCUGCUGUUGCCCUGCAAUGUACCAGCUCCCAGAAGAGAGGAAUUUUCUGAUUCUACUGGAAACAUUGGUAUUCAACAAAAUCACCACUGCAUUCAGGAAAUUAAUUAAAUAUACUUCUAAUUAGAUCUAUCAAGAUCAGGAUGUGAUUUUCUUAAAUCUUACCAUUUCCUCUUUUGUUUUAGUUUCUCUACUCAAUGAAGUAUAUAAUAUUUAAUCAUAUGCUGUAGUUGUGAUAUUUAAAUUCUAAUAUAUUUUUCCCAUUUGUUUAACAUUUGAAAAUGUUACACCAAAUAUAACAUACAAGUAGGAUCCUCUUCUAUUCUACCACUUGCAUAAUGAUCUGUUGAUUGAGAGUUUUGCCCUUACACAGUGUACACAACAGAGUAUGGACUGCCUACUUGCACAGCCAGAAGUGCCCAUUAUUUUCAAUGGGAUAAUCCCUGGGGAUGAGUCUUUUGUGUGAUAAUGAAAAGGGAAACAAAACAAAACAAAAGGGGCUCUUUUCCCUCCCAUUUCUCAUGUUCUUUAGUUGAUUCCUGAAAUGGGGCCUCUAAAACAUGAAUGAUUCAUAUUAAUGAAAGAGAGACACAAAAAAGUUCCAUGUUCUGUUUCUCUCUUUUCUUUAGCCUUUUGUCUGUCAAAUCACCCGAGAAUUUUUCAUCCAAUAGCAUCACAAGCAUAUCUGAGGAAGCAUAAAUUUAAAUAUGUAAAAGGGCCUGGAUUGGUUGGAACCCAUGGAAAAGUGUUCUUUCUUUGCUUUAGUUGUUUCUUGUAGCUAUGUGAGGUUUUGGGUCCUUCCAUCUUGUGCUCCCUGCCUGCCUGCCUGCCUCUGUGACUCUUAUUCCUUGGCACAUAAGGGAAAUAUUUUCUAGUUCUUCUGAUACU
rnacentral:lncRNA from 1 species